rnacentral:tRNA from 1 species
GCGAGAGUGGCGGAAUUGGUAGACGCACUGGAUUUAGGUUCCAGCGCCGCAAGGCGUGCGGGUUCGAGUCCCGCCUUUCGCA